rnacentral:rRNA from 1 species
GCACGGGGGGGGCGUGCCUAAUACAUGCAAGUCGAACGAACUCUGGUAUUGAUUGGUGCUUGCAUCAUGAUUUACAUUUGAGUGAGUGGCGAACUGGUGAGUAACACGUGGGAAACCUGCCCAGAAGCGGGGGAUAACACCUGGAAACAGAUGCUAAUACCGCAUAACAACUUGGACCGCAUGGUCCGAGUUUGAAAGAUGGCUUCGGCUAUCACUUUUGGAUGGUCCCGCGGCGUAUUAGCUAGAUGGUGGGGUAACGGCUCACCAUGGCAAUGAUACGUAGCCGACCUGAGAGGGUAAUCGGCCACAUUGGGACUGAGACACGGCCCAAACUCCUACGGGAGGCAGCAGUAGGGAAUCUUCCACAAUGGACGAAAGUCUGAUGGAGCAACGCCGCGUGAGUGAAGAAGGGUUUCGGCUCGUAAAACUCUGUUGUUAAAGAAGAACAUAUCUGAGAGUAACUGUUCAGGUAUUGACGGUAUUUAACCAGAAAGCCACGGCUAACUACGUGCCAGCAGCCGCGGUAAUACGUAGGUGGCAAGCGUUGUCCGGAUUUAUUGGGCGUAAAGCGAGCGCAGGCGGUUUUUUAAGUCUGAUGUGAAAGCCUUCGGCUCAACCGAAGAAGUGCAUCGGAAACUGGGAAACUUGAGUGCAGAAGAGGACAGUGGAACUCCAUGUGUAGCGGUGAAAUGCGUAGAUAUAUGGAAGAACACCAGUGGCGAAGGCGGCUGUCUGGUCUGUAACUGACGCUGAGGCUCGAAAGUAUGGGUAGCAAACAGGAUUAGAUACCCUGGUAGUCCAUACCGUAAACGAUGAAUGCUAAGUGUUGGAGGGUUUCCGCCCUUCAGUGCUGCAGCUAACGCAUUAAGCAUUCCGCCUGGGGAGUACGGCCGCAAGGCUGAAACUCAAAGGAAUUGACGGGGGCCCGCACAAGCGGUGGAGCAUGUGGUUUAAUUCGAAGCUACGCGAAGAACCUUACCAGGUCUUGACAUACUAUGCAAAUCUAAGAGAUUAGACGUUCCCUUCGGGGACAUGGAUACAGGUGGUGCAUGGUUGUCGUCAGCUCGUGUCGUGAGAUGUUGGGUUAAGUCCCGCAACGAGCGCAACCCUUAUUAUCAGUUGCCAGCAUUAAGUUGGGCACUCUGGUGAGACUGCCGGUGACAAACCGGAGGAAGGUGGGGAUGACGUCAAAUCAUCAUGCCCCUUAUGACCUGGGCUACACACGUGCUACAAUGGAUGGUACAACGAGUUGCGAACUCGCGAGAGUAAGCUAAUCUCUUAAAGCCAUUCUCAGUUCGGAUUGUAGGCUGCAACUCGCCUACAUGAAGUCGGAAUCGCUAGUAAUCGCGGAUCAGCAUGCCGCGGUGAAUACGUUCCCGGGCCUUGUACACACCGCCCGUCACACCAUGAGAGUUUGUAACACCCAAAGUCGGUGGGGUAACCUUUUAGGAACCAGCCGCCUAAGUGGACAGGGAU